AGAAGCGGGUGAACCUCCAAGGCACAAAGAAGAAGGGGUGCGCAGCAACAAUGAAUUUGAAGUGGAUUGAGUUGUACCCAGAUUUCCAGUAUUCCAUUCCAGAUAUGCAUACUUUGACGGUUCCCUUGACAACUGGAAACGGCACAUUGUCCAGAGGGAUUCGAGAUCCGCAGUGGAUCACGAAGACGACAUUGGCUGAAAAUAAACAAUAAAGAGGAUUUAAUGAA
rnacentral:lncRNA from 1 species